rnacentral:rRNA from 1 species
UCGCAAGACCUUGCGCUCUUUGAGCGGCCGAUGUCAGAUUAGCUAGUUGGUGAGGUAACGGCUUACCAAGGCGACGAUCUGUAGCGGGUCUGAGAGGAUGAUCCGCCACACUGGAACUGAGACACGGUCCAGACUCCUACGGGAGGCAGCAGUGGGGAAUUUUGGACAAUGGGGGCAACCCUGAUCCAGCCAUGCCGCGUGAGUGAAGAAGGCCUUCGGGUUGUAAAGCUCUUUCGGCCGGGAAGAAAUCGCAUGGGUUAAUACCCUGUGUGGAUGACGGUACCGGCAUAAGAAGCACCGGCUAACUACGUG